rnacentral:rRNA from 1 species
UAGGGAAUCUUCCACAAUGGACGCAAGUCUGAUGGAGCAACGCCGCGUGAGUGAAGAAGGUUUUCGGAUCGUAAAGCUCUGUUGUUGGUGAAGAAGGAUAGAGGCAGUAACUGGUCUUUAUUUGACGGUAAUCAACCAGAAAGUCACGGCUAACUACGUGCCAGCAGCCGCGGUAAUACGUAGGUGGCAAGCGUUGUCCGGAUUUAUUGGGCGUAAAGCGAGCGCAGGCGGAAUGAUAAGUCUGAUGUGAAAGCCCACGGCUCAACCGUGGAACUGCACCGGAAACUGUCAUUCUUGAGUGCAGAAGAGGAGAGUGGAAUUCCAUGUGUAGCGGUGGAAUGCGUAGAUAUAUGGAAGAACACCAGUGGCGAAGGCGGCUCUCUGGUCUGCAACUGACGCUGAGGCUCGAAAGCAUGGGUAGCGAACAGG